rnacentral:ncRNA from 1 species
GAUAGAUGAAGGACAGACCUUAAUUCAUCAUC